AAAGUCGAUUAUUGGAAGGUCGUUUGAGGCUUCAGUUCAGAUUGCUAUUUUUCUAUUCGAGUUGGAUUCAUCGCCGUUGAGGUUCUAUUCGAAAUUCCAAGUUCGGGUUUUCUUAUUAUCAACAAAGAUCAGAUUGUUGAAAGGUCCAUUUCUUAACCCGCUCUCUUUUUAUCUAUCUUAGUGUGUUGAAUGGAUUGUGAAUAUGUGUGAUGUUAUUAUGUUUUGUUGGAUUUUUGUUGAU
rnacentral:lncRNA from 1 species